GGGGUACUCGAGCGGCGAACGGGUGAGUAACACGUGAGCAACCUGCCCCAAGCUUUGGGAUAACCCUCGGAAACGGGGGCUAAUACCGAAUAGGACUUCUGGCCGCAUGGCUGGUGGUGGAAAGUUUUUCGGCUUGGGAUGGGCUCGCGGCCUAUCAGCUUGUUGGUGGGGUGAUGGCCUACCAAGGCGACGACGGGUAGCCGGCCUGAGAGGGCGACCGGCCACACUGGGACUGAGACACGGCCCAGACUCCUACGGGAGGCAGCAGUGGGGAAUAUUGCACAAUGGGCGGAAGCCUGAUGCAGCGACGCCGCGUGAGGGAUGACGGCCUUCGGGUUGUAAACCUCUUUCAGCAGGGACGAAGCGAGAGUGACGGUACCUGCAGAAGAAGCACCGGCCAACUACGUGCCAGCAGCCGCGGUAAGACGUAGGGUGCGAGCGUUGUCCGGAUUUAUUGGGCGUAAAGAGCUCGUAGGCGGCUUGUCGCGUCGACCGUGAAAACUUGGGGCUCAACCCCAAGCCUGCGGUCGAUACGGGCAGGCUAGAGUUCGGUAGGGGAGACUGGAAUUCCUGGUGUAGCGGUGAAAUGCGCAGAUAUCAG
rnacentral:rRNA from 1 species